GCAGUUCGUAACUCCAGUUUUGGGAUUCUCAUGGAUUUGUUUAUCUUUACUCACUUCUUUGCUUUUGCCUGCAAAUAAAUUCAAUUAUAAUUCUGAGCUUCGACCCUUACGUUGUCCAGUUCUUAGUCCCAAAAAUUAUUCAUUCAUACACCCGUUCAGUUCAGACUAUAUCGUAACACUAGAUCUUGAAAGAAUAUAAAAUAUAUGAAACUACACACGGCUCAUUCAACAAUAACAUAUACACACGAUAAAAUUCCACUUUUGGUACAUUAGAUAUUAAAAUCUGAAAAGAACCAAUAAAAGAAGUGAAUAGUAUAAUAUUUCACCCUUACAUACAAAUUCGUACAAUGACUUGUUCACAACAACCAAUAACCCCCCCCCCCUAAAAAAAACCCACGAAGCUAUACCAAAAAUAUACAAAAAACUUUGAGGAGGACCACACAUACACAAAUUCAAGGCAUAAAAAAUAACCAAUGCACACAUGCAACGGGACAAGCAUACCCCACAAUAAUUUAAAGACACAAAGGACAAUUAUAAAGCAUAAAACUUUCGAAAAGAAACCCACAAUCGAACACAAAAAGGGUUCUCAAAAUUGACAACUCCCAAAUCCUUAAAAAAUGACAAAUUUCUCAUUUUAAAUUAAAUUUUUGAAAGAAUCAAAAAUAAAAGAGGGUUAAAACCGAUCCCACAAUUGAACCCAACGUUUACGAACCUCGCGCCGCCGUUGCAUUCUUCGUCCUCGCCAUUUACCCGCCAUCGCUGAAAUCAGAACCUACAAUCGAACCCUAGUUCGUCCGCCGUUUGUGAGUGAAGAAGAUGGAAAAGUGAUUUGGUAGGUUAUAAUUGAAGAGAGAGAGAGAGUGAAAAUCUGCAUCAAAUACUUUGCAAUUCACACUCAACAUAAUUAGUAUAAUUUUAUUUUAUUUUGCAUUCUAAAAUUUAUCGGUUCUAUGGAAUAAUGUUAUUGGUGCUAUUUUAUUUUGCAUUAAAUUCAUAUCAAACCUUCUAAAUUCUCGACCAAAAU
rnacentral:lncRNA from 1 species